rnacentral:misc_RNA from 1 species
AACGCACCUUGCGCUCCUUGGUAUUCCGAGGAGCAUGCCUGUUUGAGUGUCUUGAAGUCAUCAACCCCUACCGUUUAGUGCGGUUGCGGGUUGGAUCUGGGGGUCUGCUGCCGAGAGGCGGCUCCCCUCAAAUGGAUCGGUUGGGCCUGCGGGUCGUACUCGAUUGGGUGUUGUAUUAUCCUCGCUCUAACGAGAUGUUCCCCUUGUUUGUGCCCCUCCACGACCUGCCUAUCGAGUGGCGGUCAAACCAACUUUGAAAUUCUGACCUCAAAUCAGGUAGGACUACCCGCUGAACUUAA